UUGCCUCAGAUUACAUAUGAUGCACACACGAGCGAUAGGUUGAUAUGUAUUUUACCUGCUUGCUUCUGACUUCAGCUUAAAUAUUUUUAUACUAAAAUUCGUUUGGUAAGAAGCAAUGGAAUUAUUGGUUGCUAUGCAGCCCAAAAUAUGUAUGUUUGCAUUUUAGUACUGUGUUUUGGCUGUUGCUCGAUUUUGGUACCAUGUUUGGGUUGGGCCAAGGCUUCUAAACUGAUCUGCAAAUUGCCAGAGCUUCAUCUAGCAUUUUCAUGUACCUUCUUUUAGCCUUCAAGUUAUGUGUGAUGUAUGCAUAAUCCAUUUAUACACUGAUAUGCAUUCAUCCUGCUUGCUUGACACUGAAUUAAUAUUUUAGAGUACCAAUUUACAGUUCUGAAAUUUGUUGAGUAAGAAGCAGUGAAAGUAUUGUUGGUUAUACUACCUCAAAUAUGAAUAUUCACAUUUUAAUGUUGUGCUUUGGCCUGUCCUUCGAUUUAAGUGUUACGUUUGGGUUAGUCUAGCACAACUAGAUAUAUUUCAGUUAAGUCUCCUAAACUUCACUUAGCAGGUAAAAUUCUUCUGUUUAGCAGAGCAUGCUUUCCUUUGGCAUGGUCAGAACUGUUUUUGGUGAUCUGGCUGAAUAUUAUUUUAUUUGCGAUCGUGGUUUUUUUUAAUGGUGUACUUGUGCAUAUAUUUGGGAUACAUUGUGCUAUAUGCUUUUUUUUUUGUUUCAGGUUCUACGUUGCUGCUGCAGGCUAUUGUUGCGAUUGUUUCUUUGGCGCAAACCAUUGUCACAGCUCAGGCGGAUGCGACGAGGCAAUAAGAAGAAUGUCUGAAUAAAAAGCAGAUUUUAAGCAUCUACAUAUCCAUGAACAUGCCCUCCUAAUUUUCACUGACGAUGUCAUAUCUAUGAUCUGCUAUUGCAAGAAGACUCACAAGCAACGAUGAGAUCUUCCACGUGAGCGCGAAGUUUAGUACUAUGAAGCUUGCGUUAAUUGAGUAUGGAACCUCAGUAUAACCGUGACUUGAAUUUGCACAACUGCUAUUGCAUUGUUGAUACAUCCCGGAUAUCUUCCUUCCCACUCAAGUUACUCCGUUGACCAGCAGCGUAGCCUACUAUUAUGCUUGCUUUGGUUUUGUACAGAAAGUUCAUGGUUGCAAUUUUUUAGAUGAAUAUUGAAAUUCUUGGAGAACUAUACUGGUAUUGUUUGUAUCUCUGAAUUUUGGGAGCUGUUAGUUUUGUCUUUUAUCAAGCAGAAACUAUGAAAAACUCCAGAUUGCCUUGAA